AUCUUUAGCUGGAGAUCACUUCUCUUGGAGCCCUUCUGUGAGCCCAGGAUACAGGUGUACUUUGCAGGGCAGAUAUGCCAAGUGAGCAAGACAAAAACCUAGAACUUUUAAAAAACACUACCAACUUUCCUUUUGAAGAAAACAUUGCAAUCAUGUCAGCACAGAGUACGUGGAUCUGCAUGCAAGGACUGAAGAGACAUUGCUAGAUUUCCAGAGGUAACAAAAACAUGAAUGUGAAAUUCUCAGCACUGCUACUGUGUAAUAAUUUUCUGAUACAAAUUACAAUACUGUUACCUUGCCCACUAUGGCUGCUGUUGAGUGCUACUCAGUUAUUUUGAGAUGCAGAAGAGCUGUAACACUGCACAAAGCUAACUACAUGCACAGCGUCAUGUUUUCCACUCUUUCCUUUGAAAGCCAAUGCCAUUGCGUGACUCAUGGUGUGAAAGGCUCAGUUAGGUGGCCAUAUAAUUAAACACAGAAAGGCCAGGAGAAAGGAGGGCAACUCAACACCUCUAUUGCCAUCAGAGCACAACUGUUUUUGCCACAGUGAGCUGUAAGGAAGAAGCACUCUGAUAGCAGCUGAUGACACUUAUGGUACUUUACUGCAUUCAAGGAUCACCUGGACAAUGAACCAAUGUAGCAGGAAAUUCUAAUAUGCUGCUUUCAACAACAGAUAUGUGGACUGAGAAGUGGGAACUUGAGUGCUCAGAAAAAUCUUACACCCGCUACCUGAUGUGGCUCUGGCCUUACCUUUGCAUUUGAACUUCUGGCAGUCCUUCAGAGAUGGCAUUUUGACCUCAUAUGCUCUUCCUUUUGUGGAUGCGCAUACAGACCUCAUGCUCUUUCUGUGCUGAUUCCUGUAUAGGACAGUUGGCUGGACCACAGGAUUAUGAGAAGCUUGUAGUAGUUGUCCUCAGCAGGCUUUGACAGGGGAGUGCAAAUGUGCAUACUCCAAAACAGAAAUGUCUAGUACAUUGGAAGCUGUGAGGAAACAGACCAUCAUAAUGGUAACCUGCACCAGCUGGGGUACAAUGCUGUGCUGCAACUGACCUGCUCCUACAGAAAUGCUGCAGGCAAUGACAGCAGUAUGGUUUACAGCAGUAAAGGCAAUGGAUGCACUUGAAGAUGAUUAUUACUCCUAAUGUGAUAAGAAAAAGUCAGCAGGGGAAGCUAGGAAUCAUCUUAAUCUACAGUGCUGUCCAUUUCAUUAGGUUUGGCAUUCUGUAGAAGAUUUAGAUCAAAAUGCAACGACUUUAGUCAGAAAAUUUGCUUAAGAAUAAAUGGGUUCAAAAAUACUGACAGCAAGGUGCUGCAUGUGUGUACAAAGCUCAGCUGGGAAGUAAGCUGACCACAGUAAAAACAUGUCCUUAGGAACCAGUUCAUCAAAAUGAAAUAGUACUGCAGCUGCAUGUUUGGUCAGAAAAGCAGUUUGUAAAGAAACAAGUGGUGAAUUUCAUCAACUUUGAUCACCUCCUCACAUUCACUCAGCGCCGCCAUCUUCUCGGGUGCAGUAAGAGCUGCUUUAAGUACCUCUGGUACCUAAAAUGUAAAUAUUCUUGUCCACACUGACUUAACAGAUUUCCAAGUGGAGAUUAUGUUGCUGUUUUUGUUGUUUGUUUUUAAGUUUAAAUGUUGCCUGCCAUCGGUGCUACUUCUACAGACGUGUGAAACUUGCACUGAUCC
ensembl:lncRNA